AUUGAACGCUGGCGGCAGGCUUAACACAUGCAAGUCGAACGAGUGGCGGACGGGUGAGUAAUGCUUGGGAAUCUGGCUUAUGGAGGGGGAUAACUACUGGAAACUGUCGCUAAUACCGCGUACCCUAGGCUUAGCCCACUUGGGAUUAGGUAGUUGGUGGGGUAAUGGCCUACCAAGCCGACGAUCCCUAGCUGGUCUGAGAGGAUGACCAGCCACACCGGGACUGAGACACGGCCCGGACUCCUACGGGAGGCAGCAGUGGGGAAUAUUGCGCAAUGGGGGCAACCUGAUGCAGUCAUGCCGCGUGAAGGAAGAAGGCCUUCGGGUUGUAAAGUUCUUUCGGUGACGAGGCGUUAAUCACAGAAGAAGCACCGGCUAACUCCGUGCCAGCAGCCGCGGUAAUUC
rnacentral:rRNA from 1 species